AUCCAACUGAUGAAUCUCAAAUAGGAUGAAAUGACGCGCAUCCUGGAU
rfam:Schistosoma rodhaini strain Burundi genome assembly, scaffold: SROB_scaffold0000222